UAGGAGAGGGUCAAGGUCCAACAGCCCACUUUCUUCCUCCCUCACGCUCUCCUCCUCCUGGCCGACCACGACCUCUCUCUCUCGUUCUUCCUCUCGUGCUCCUUCCCCCAUGGCUUCAUGCCCUUGAAUCCACCCUCUGCAGCACCAAAUCCAUAGGGCAAAACCAGCAAAAUGGAACAAGGGCGGCGUGAGGAAGAAGGAGAGGUGUGCAUUCGAUGUAGAUCAGUUUUCCCACAUCGUUUCCCCUCCCUAGGGUUUCAAGGGUGACAAAGGUUAUCUUCAUGGGAACGUAUUGGUUAUCUUCAGACGAAGAGAGAAAUAGCUUGAAGAAAGGGUGUCAAAAUUUGGAGGUCACAGUCAAUCAAGGGCUAGUUUUUUGGUGUUUAGUUUUUGUUCCUGUUUUCUUGCUUUCUUCAGUAUUGAGUCUGUGUACCUGUUUAAGCAGCUUAUACGCUGUAGGGUCGUCCUUUUUUAUCGGUUGUAAGCUUUCGAACUCCGUUUGUUGAGACUCGAUUCAUUUCCUUAAUCUAAAGAAAUUAUAUAUA